UGAGUACGAGAUGCUACGGCGUCGAAGCAGUCUAUGUCAUACUUCCAAGAAAAGCUUGCACUGUCAUAAACAAAUAAUGCCUGUACCAUAACCGACACAGGUGGGUAGGUAGAGUAUACUAAGGGGCGCGAGAUAACUCUCUCUAAGGAACUCGGCAAAAUGACUCCGUAACUCCGGGAGAAGGAGUGCCUUAUUUAUAAGGUUGCAAUAACAAGACCCAAGCAACUGUUUAUCAAAAACACAGGUCUCCGCUAAGUCGUAAGACGAUGUAUGGGGGCUGACGCCUGCCCAGUGCCAGAAGGUUAAAGAAGUUGGUUAGCUUUUGCGAAGCUGAUGACUGAAGCCCUGGUGAACGGCGGCCGUAACAAUAACGGUCCUAAGGUAGCGAAAUUCCUUGUCGGGUAAGUUCCGACCCGCACGAAAGGCGUAAUGAUUUGGGUACUGUCUCAGAGAGGGACUCGGUGAAAUAGACUUGUCUGUGAAGAUGCGGACUACCUGCACCUGGACAGAAAGACCCUAUGAAGCUUUACUGUAACUUGAAAUUGAAAUUGGACUUUAUUUGCGCAGUAUAGGUGGGAGGCUUUGAAGAUAUUCUUGCGGGAAUGUUGGAGCCAUCAGUGAGAUACCACUCUUGUAAUGUUAGAUUUCUAACUUUGUAUCAUUAUCUGGUCAAAGAACAGUUUCAGGCGGGCAGUUUGACUGGGGCGGUCGCCUCCUAAACGGUAACGGAGGCGCACAAAGGUUUCCUCUGAACGGGUAGAAAUCGUAUCUAGAGUGUAAAGGCAUAAGGAAGCUUGACUGUGAGACCUACAAGUCGAGCAGGGACGAAAGUCGGUCUUAGUGAUCUGACGGUGCUGAGUGGAAAGGCCGUCACUCAACGGAUAAAAGUUACUCUAGGAUAACAGGCUGAUCUCCCCCAAGAGUUCACAUCGACGGGGAGGUUUGGCACCUCGAUGUCGGCUCAUCGCAUCCUGGGGCGGUAGUACGUCCCAAGGGUUGGGCUGUUCGCCCAUGAAAGCGGUACGCGAGCUGGGUUCAGAACGUCGUGAGACAGUUCGGUCCAUAUCCGGUGUAGGCGUUAGAAUAUUGAGAGGAGCCUUCUCUAGUACGAGAGGACCGAGAAGGACAUACCUCUGGUGUACCAGUUAUCGUGCCAACGGUAAACGCUGGGUAGCUAUGUGUGGAGUGGAUAACCGCUGAAAGCAUCUAAGUGGGAAGCCCACCUCAAGAUAAGUAUUCUCAUC
rnacentral:rRNA from 1 species